rnacentral:lncRNA from 1 species
AUGCCUUUGGCUGCAAGUAAGAGAGACCCUGCCUCCAACAUCUCAAUAAGGCGAGGACACAAGCAGCUCCCUCCACUGCGUCCAGAGUGGCUCCAGCGCCAGCGGCAGCUCCUGGGGGCACGAGGACACAGGCUUUUCUACUUCUCUCUUGUCCUUAGCUGGCGCCCCUGUGUCCCCAUGAUGGCUGUCACUCCCCUCUGGGUUGAGAGACAGCUGCCAGUGACAACAGGGGCUGCAUGCUUCCGUGUACGUGUCUGGCAGGAGAGUGCAAGAGGCUUCCCUCCCCACCCUGGGCUCUCACCCGAUCCCUACCCAGCUCGGAGCACAGUAGGACAGGCAUCGCGUCCAAAUGACCACUGAGGUCACGGAGGCACAGAGAAAGGGAAAGGCUCGCUUGGGUCACCCUGGGUAAGUGGCAGAGCCUGGACUGAGAAAAAGAAAUGCACGGCAAACAAACCAAGCAGGCCUCAAGCUGCCAGGCCUUGGCUCAACCUCCUGACCCUGUCCCUUCAAGCGCCGUGCCUGCUGCCUCCUCUAGGCCGCCACAGUGCCUGCCCACCAGCGACCCCUGUCUCAGAGCUCACCUUGCAGCGCUGGGGGGCUACCUCCCUCCUUAGUCUGAGCGUGCACACUCCCACUCAUGGCAUGAAGCUUCCCAAGCGCUUCAGGAUCCAAGGCCGGGGACGUGGGUUCGAACCCUGGCUUUGAGCUUCCGUGUCCUCCUCUGUGCAAUGGGCCCUUGAACCUCACCUAUACCUCUUGGCCCAACUGUUGGGCGAUGGAAUGAAAUGAGGAGAUGAUGCUUACCUAAUGAAGUGCUGUGGGACCAUCAAGUGUCCCUUCUCGCUGGGAAAGGGUCAUUCCCCGGGCCUCAUCUGCACUGGAAAAUACCAAAAGACAGGCAGCCAGAGAGACCCAGGAGACAGCCAGGUGUGGAUCAUUCGACCACAAAUGCCUGGUUUGAACCUGUCAUCUGAUAGAUGAGGAGAUACGUCCAGAGAGGGGCGGUAAUCCGCUCAAUGUCACACAGGACUAGAACCCGCCCCCCCCAUUCCCGUCCCCCCGGAUCCCAGUCCUGCCCUCCUUGCACCAGGCCCCAAGGAUCGGGUGAGGUCCACUAAGCAGUCCGAGGUGGGGUGCUGCGGCUGUAACAUUGGUGCCUGCCCGCCAGCACGUCCCCAAGUUUCUCGGGGGCCAUUCUUCAGGGGUUCACUGAGGCGAGGCCACAUUUCCCCUUGGGCGGCUUCCUGUUUGGGCCAAACAAUGACUUUUGCCGGGACAUGAUGCCAGCUGGCUGCAGCUGUUGCCAAGGCCUUGACUUCUCGCAUGCAGAGAGAGGAGAUCCUGGCCCGCGGGGAUC